GUGAAAAUACAUUAAAUAUCAUAUCCAAUAUCUUUUUCUCAUAUUCUGAAAAGCAUUUUACUAUUGGAGAAGACUAACCCUUGACUUGGAGACUUGGUAAUUCUAGUGGAUGUUUCAUGUAAAAAGCAAAGCCUACUAUCAGCCAUUUCCAACCUAAUUUUCUGAGUUUCUGUUGACAGGCCAUGCAGGGGGAUGCAUAUGGAUCUCAAGUACAUCAUUUAAAAGAAAAUUAAAAGAAUCCCGGUGAUACUUUAUUCUGUGGCAUGUGAUUAAAGAAAACAUGGACUACAACCUGUGGUUCUGCAGAGGGAGACAGUCUAUAGCAGGAGUCCUUUCCUUGGAAACAUCCCAACAGUUAAACAUGAAGGCAAUGAAAAGAGGUUAUUCAAGAGGUCCAUGAGUACCAAACUGUAGUUUCAAUGUGGAUGAAGAAUAGCAACUCUUGGAGAUAAGUAUUUGUCAUCCAUGAUAGUUUCCUUCUCACUGGUGUUGAAACUCUGCUACUUCUUAUCAGUUAGGUCAGCUCAAGAUAUUCCUCCAAUGCUUAAGUUGAUUCAAAUUAGAUGCUUAGUCACUGGGAGAAAAGAGGAAAAAAAAAACAAACAAACAAGGAGGAGUCAGUGUAUGGGAAGAGAAGACUACAGCCAUCAUUUCAAGAGAGAAAAAUGGCUCCCCAGCUCCAUAGCCAGGCUGACAAUCAAGGAACAAGAGAAUGUAGGAUCUUGGGAGUCCUCCCCUGCAAGCCCCAGUUUCAUGUCAUCCUGCCAGGUGGGUUCCAGAGAAGCUGGGACUUGGAGCUUGCCGCAGCCUGGUAGGGCCAUGCAUCUGGGAACCCCAAGUUUCUGGAAGCUCCUGCUGCUGGUAGGCUCCGGAAUGAGAUGCUGUGAAGCUGGAAUUUUGGUUGCUAAUGUCUGACACAAAACAGGAACUACUAUUUGACCUGCAAUAAAACCAACAUCUCCUCAGGGUGCUUCUUUGUU
rnacentral:lncRNA from 1 species